UGCCCCAUGGCUGAGUUGGUUACAGCGUCCGACUGUUAGGUUAUUGCCUGGCGUAACUGCAAGGUGGUCCGGUGAUCGGAAGGUCGUGAGUUCGAGCCUCACUGGGGCAG
rfam:Hydnomerulius pinastri MD-312 unplaced genomic scaffold scaffold_2, whole genome shotgun sequence.